rnacentral:rRNA from 1 species
ACGGUCCUAAGGUAGCGAAAUUCCUUGUCGGGUAAGUUCCGACCUGCACGAAUGGCGUAAUGAUGGCCAGGCUGUCUCCACCCGAGACUCAGUGAAAUUGAACUCGCUGUGAAGAUGCAGUGUACCCGCGGCAAGACGGAAAGACCCCGUGAACCUUUACUAUAGCUUGACACUGAACAUUGAGCCUUGAUGUGUAGGAUAGGUGGGAGGCUUUGAAGUGUGGACGCCAGUCUGCAUGGAGCCGACCUUGAAAUACCACCCUUUAAUGUUUGAUGUUCUAACGUUGGCCCCUAAUCGGGGUUGCGGACAGUGUCUGGUGGGUAGUUUGACUGGGGCGGUCUCCUCCUAAAGAGUAACGGAGGAGCACGAAGGUUGGCUAAUCCUGGUCGGACAUCAGGAGGUUAGUGCAAUGGCAUAAGCCAGCUUGACUGCGAGCGUGACGGCGCGAGCAGGUGCGAAAGCAGGUCAUAGUGAUCCGGUGGUUCUGAAUGGAAGGGCCAUCGCUCAACGGAUAAAAGGUACUCCGGGGAUAACAGGCUGAUACCGCCCAAGAGUUCAUAUCGACGGCGGUGUUUGGCACCUCGAUGUCGGCUCAUCACAUCCUGGGGCUGAAGUAGGUCCCAAGGGUAUGGCUGUUCGCCAUUUAAAGUGGUACGCGAGCUGGGUUUAGAACGUCGUGAGACAGUUCGGUCCCUAUCUGCCGUGGGCGCUGGAGAACUGAGGGGGGCUGCUCCUAGUACGAGAGGACCGGAGUGGACGCAUCACUGGUGUUCGGGUUGUCAUGCCAAUGGCACUGCCCGGUAGCUAAAUGCGGAAGAGAUAAGUGCUGAAAGCAUCUAAGCACGAAACUUGCCCCGAGAUGAGUUCUCCCUGAGACUU